AUUGAACGCUGGCGGCAUGCUUUACACAUGCAAGUCGAACGGCAGCACGGACUUCGGUCUGGUGGCGAGUGGCGAACGGGUGAGUAAUGUAUCGGAACGUGCCCAGUCGUGGGGGAUAACGUAGUGAAAAUUACGCUAAUACCGCAUACGAUCUAUGGAUGAAAGCGGGGGAUCGCAAGACCUCGCGCGAUUGGAGCGGCCGAUAUCAGAUUAGGUAGUUGGUGGGGUAAAGGCCCGCCAAGCCAACGAUCUGUAGCUGGUCUGAGAGGACGACCGACCACACGGGAGCUGAGACACGGUCCAGAAUCCUACGGGAGGCAGCAGUGGGGAAUUUUGGAAAAUGGGCGAAAGCCUGGUCCAGCCAUUCCGCGUGCAGGAUGAAGGCCCUCGGGUUGUAAACUGCUUUUGUACAGAACGAAAAGGUUUCUACUAAUACUAGGAGCUCAUGACGGUACUGUAAGAAUAAGCACCGGCUAACUACGUGCCAGCCGCCGCGGUAA
rnacentral:rRNA from 1 species